UUUUAUUACUUAUAGUUAGAA
rnacentral:piRNA from 1 species